UACGUAGGGAGCAAGCGUUUGUCCGGAAUCAUUGGGCGUAAAGCGCGCGUAGGCGGCCCCGUAAGUCCGCUGUGAAAGUCAAAGGCUCAACCUUUGAAAGCCGGUGGAUACUGUGGGGCUAGAGUCCGGAAGAGGCGAGUGGAAUUCCGGGUGUAGUGGUGAAAUGCGUAGAGAUCCGGAGGAACACCAGUGGCGAAGGCGGCUCGCUGGGCUUUUACCUGACGCUGAGGCGCGAAAAGCAUGGGGGAGCGAACAGG
rnacentral:rRNA from 1 species